rnacentral:lncRNA from 1 species
AAAGCAGGUAGAUCACCAGGAGAGAGAGUUGGUGUGCAAGGCAUGAUUAAUAAUUAAGGACAGCAUGGAGAUGGGAAAAGAGGGAAAGGAAGCUCUUGCAGGGAUCGGACCCUACCUAGCAAAGACACUGAGCUCCUCUACACAGCAUUCUUCCAUCUGUCUUUCCUGACCCUGAAUCAUGGAGCUUGGUGAUUCUAGAACCCAACAGCAAAUCAAUGACUUUGAGGUAAAGAAGCAUUUACUUAAUAGUAAAAGUGGUCUUUCCGGGGUAACAAUUAUUUUUUGUUAAUAACAAAGGGAUUUCUUAUAGAAGUCUUCAGGUUGGCUGUGUCCAAAAUUGGUGAAUAUAGCAGCUCACAGUAUUUCAGAUUCCAUAAGCUGCUUGUCCAGCUAUUUUGAUCUUUCUGGUGUGCCAUCCUCAGGAUAUUUGUUGCUCUCCUCAGUGAUAGGAUUUGUAUGGCACUUCCAAACAUCCCAAAAUGAAUUUAUCAAGUGGAAUUGGGUCAAGCAAACAUACGUAGACACAAAAUUGUUGGAACAGGAAAAUAUUUUACUUAGAGUAUUUCCCUUUGAAAAAGAAAUACCUAAGAAAUUGGAGGAGUUCUGCCGCCAUCUUCAUUUCCAUUAAGCUGGCUGUGACACGAUCAGAGCAUUCUUGAGCCAUGAAGCUAUUAACCAGAGCCAGGUCCUUGUCAAGACUUUAUUCCCUAGGGCUGGGGAUGUGGCUCAAGUGGUAGCGCGCUCGCCUGGCAUGCGUGCAGCCCGGGUUCGAUCCUCAGCACCACAUACC